rnacentral:snRNA from 1 species
GUGCUCAUUCAGCAGCACAUAUACUAAAAUUGGAAUGAUACAGAGAUUAGUAUGGCCCCUGCGCAAGGAUGACACGCAAAUUUGUGAAGUGUUCCAUAUUUAA